rnacentral:rRNA from 1 species
UACGUAGGGGGCAAGCGUUGUUCGGAAUUACUGGGCGUAAAGGGCGCGUAGGCGGCCUUCUAAGUCGAACGUGAAAUCCCUGGGCUCAACCCAGGAACUGCGUCCGAUACUGGAAGGCUUGAAUCCGGGAGAGGGAUGCGGAAUUCCAGGUGUAGCGGUGAAAUGCGUAGAUAUCUGGAGGAACACCGGUGGCGAAGGCGGCAUCCUGGACCGGUAUUGACGCUGAGGCGCGAAAGCCAGGGGAGCAAACGGG